CACCCUGGGUCAGUAUGAUUGCAAUUACUCUCAGCAAUGGGUAAGGGCCUUUGUGGAUGUGAAUCAUGUCAAGCUCAGGAAGCAGUAACAACGCCAGGACUUCAAAUUCUGCUGUUUGAAAAUACCUGUUCUUCUAACAUCAUCUCCUGCUGAGCACUGUGUCUCCUGAGGAAAGUAUCCACUGCUGACAAACCAUCCCACUGAUGUGACCCAAUUAAGUACAGAUGGACACCUGAUAUGUAAAUAUGUUGAUAUGUAAAUCUGUAGUCCCCUGCACAUGGUGUAAAUUAAUGGUCAUUAAACCGAAGAUCUUUCCAGACAUUAUAAUAUCCCAUAUGCCUUGUCUGGCGCUAUAGGCACAGUCAUCAGUGAAGUUGUGUCACAGAAGCAUUACUAGUCUGGGAUGGCUAUUGUUUCCUUUCAGGUUGGCAGUUCAUUGGUCUUCUUUUCAACCAGUGCCUCCUUCCAAGAGAAGAACUACUAGAACUGCUGAUACUGUCUUCUCUGCUUACACUCUGCUCUCUAAGCCGAUGUCUGUCUCUUUUUGCAUCUACUGGACACCUUGCAGUUCCAGGAGAUAUUGCUACGUCUGUCUCUGAGCUCUUCAGGUGUUUCUGUGAUGUUUUAUUGUUGUAUUUUGGACUGUCAGUCAACCCCCAUGCUAAAACACCAGAACACCCAGUAAGCUUCUAAGCUGUCAAGGGUUAAUCCAGGGUCUCCUUGUGGUCUCUUCUGAGGCUUUUUUGUUUGUUCUGAAUGCUUUGGUCCUUUGUCUGGGACUUGAGACGUUGGUUCUCAGGUUGUAUACCUCUAUGGUUUCACUUUCCUUUGUGCCUCCAGGUUAGAGCUACUCUCUCAAACUGUUCAUUUGACAUAAGGAUAUAAGAGCAGCUGUUCUAAGCCGUAGCAAAGAUCCAUACAGCUCCAUCUUCUCUCAACAGUGGCAAGUAGUGGAUACCUAUGAGAAACAGGGCUUUAUACUUGAAACAUGGAAGAGGUCUUUCUUUUAGAAUUAUUUAGUAACAUGGUCUCUACUUAGCAAACACAUGCAACUGAUAAUUUUGGAUACUCCAGGGAGUGGCACCAAGACGGCCAGCUUGUUUCACCAUGGGACUACUAGUAGGCUUAGAUCUCAAGUCUACACAUCUUCCAAGUUCAGUUACAUCUACUGGUGUGCACUGAAGAUUGCCUACAGAGAUGCCUUAGUUUCUCUGAAGCAAUUUCUAGGUCCUUUACCCCUCUCGCCUCUUGUCCAGUUGCCUGGGACUCCCCCAGCUGUGGCUGAAUGUGGAUUUCCCCCAAAAUGGGGAAGUUCCCCAGAAGAGACAGGACUCACAGAGAAAUAAAUGCAAGUCUCCAGUUGUACUGAGCAUUGAAAAGAUUCCCCAAGGGACUAACAGCGGGACAAUUUUCUUCCCAUGAACUACCUUCUCUCUGAAUCUUGUGCUCACAUUUCAGAUAGAAGAAAAAAAAAAAGCAACACAAAAAGCAAAGACUGAAAAAUAU